rnacentral:rRNA from 1 species
AGAGAGAGACAUGCGCGCAUAUCAAUAAGCGGAGGAAAAGAAACUAACAAGGAUUCCCUUAGUAACGGCGAGUGAAGCGGGAAGAGCUCAAAUUUGAAAUCUUCAAGGUUUUACCUUGACGAAUUGUAGUUUAAAGAAGUGUUUUCUGCUGAAGUUUUGGUAAAAGUUCUUUGGAAUAGGACAUCAUAGAGGGUGAGAAUCCCGUAUUUGACCAUUAUUUUCAGCUUUGUGAUACACUUUCAAAGAGUCGGAUUGUUUGGGAAUGCAGUCCAAAAUGGGUGGUAAAUUUCAUCUAAAGCUAAAUAUUGGCGAGAGACCGAUAGCGAACAAGUACCGUGAGGGAAGGAUGAAAAGAACUUUGAAAAGAGAGUUAAACAGUACGUGAAAUUGUCAAAAGGGAAGCGUUUGACACCAGUGUUGUUUUCUCGAAAAUCAAUUAAAAAUGGCUCGAUUUUGUAUUGCUGAGACCUUAAAAGCUCACUGUACAUUUUUCGUGUCUUUUUUAAUGCACUUUUCGUUUAACAAGUCAACAUCAGUUUCUUUUGUUGUAAAAGGGUCAUUGGAAGGUGGCUUUCUUUUCGGAGAAAGUGUUUAUAGCCUUUGGCCUCUGCAAUCGGAAGAGACUGAGGUCUGCAGCGUAGACUCUUCGGGGUUAGAUACAUUUGUGCUAAGUUAUAGCUUUUUAUAGACAACUUGUUGACUAUAAUUAGUCUUGUAGCUUACUCGCUUAUGCUAUUUUACCUACGCUUAGGAUGUUGAAGAUGUAGCACAUCAU